rnacentral:rRNA from 1 species
UACGUAGGGUGCGAACGUUGUCCGGAUUUAUUGGGCGUAAAGAGCUCGUAGGCGGUUUGUCGCGUCGGCCGUGAAAUCUCCACGCUUAACGUGGAGCGUGCGGUCGAUACGGGCAGACUUGAGUUCGGUAGGGGAGACUGGAAUUCCUGGUGUAGCGGUGAAAUGCGCAGAUAUCAGGAGGAACACCGGUGGCGAAGGCGGGUCUCUGGGCCGAUACUGACGCUGAGGAGCGAAAGCGUGGGGAGCGAACAGG